rnacentral:lncRNA from 1 species
UCUGAGAUCCCUCUCCUCUCCAAAUUCUCUCUAAUUCUCUCGAAACCCUAGCCUCUGUCGCCGUCUCCUACCUCAAACUCACCGGAAAUCAUGGCUACUCCGGUCAUGAUAACCUCAUACCCACCCUCUAUUACUCCUGUGUGCUUGAUCUUUGAAGAAUCAGCGCCUUGACCUUGAUGGGUCCCUUUCAGAUCUUCUUAGAUUUGUAGAUCUAUGGCUUCUCCGGCCAUUACUCCGGCAUAUUCAAGCAAUAUGAGUCUUUUUGACUCAGGAUCAGACU